rnacentral:rRNA from 1 species
AUUGAACGCUGGCGGCAUGCCUUACACAUGCAAGUCGAACGGCAGCACGGGUGCUUGCACCUGGUGGCGAGUGGCGAACGGGGGAGUAAUACAUCGGAACAUGUCCUGUAGUGGGGGAUAGCCCGGCGAAAGCCGGAUUAAUACCGCAUACGAUCCACGGAUGAAAGCGGGGGACCUUCGGGCCUCGCGCUAUAGGGUUGGCCGAUGGCUGAUUAGCUAGUUGGUGGGGUAAAGGCCUACCAAGGCGACGAUCAGUAGCUGGUCUGAGAGGACGACCAGCCACACUGGGACUGAGACACGGCCCAGACUCCUACGGGAGGCAGCAGUGGGGAAUUUUGGACAAUGGGCGAAAGCCUGAUCCAGCAAUGCCGCGUGUGUGAAGAAGGCCUUCGGGUUGUAAAGCACUUUUGUCCGGAAAGAAAUCCUUGACUCUAAUACAGUCGGGGGAUGACGGUACCGGAAGAAUAAGCACCGGCUAACUACGUG